UUUCGCAAUGCCCGAAAGGGUGACGAAGCGACGCCGCGUGUGGGAAGAAGGCCUUCGGGUUGUAAACCACUGUCGGGAGUUAGGAAAUGCAGGUGCGUUAAUAGCGCACUUGCUUGACUAAGGCUCCAGAGGAAGCCACGGCUAACUCUGUGCCAGCAGCCGCGGUAAUACAGAGGCGGCAAGCGUUGUUCGGAAUUAUUGGGCGUAAAGAGCACGUAGGCGGCCUCGCAAGUCAGUUGUGAAAGCCUUCCGCUUAACGGAAGAACGGCAUCUGAUACUACAGGGCUUGAGUACGGGAGGGGAGAGUGGAACUUCUGGUGGAGCGGUGAAAUGCGUAGAUAUCAGAAGGAACGCCGGCGGUGAAAGCGACUCUCUGGUCUGAAACUGACGCUGAGUGUGCGAAAGCUAGGGGAGCAAACGGGAUUAGAUACCCCGGUAGUCCUAGCCGUAAACGAUGGGCACUAAGUAGAGGGGUUUU
rnacentral:rRNA from 1 species